UGAAUUAAAUUUCUACUCAGAAGAUGCUUGUGUUUUCCAUCAAGUGUUUUUUUAAAGGUAUAUUUCUCACAAAAAAACCCUUGCUUUUUUGAUGACUGCAGCCUUUGGGGGCUCUGUACUUACGUGAUGCCAUCCUUGUACCCUUUCCACAGACAUUUGACUUGCUGAAUUUAGAACAGAAGAAUUUACUGUCUUUUCUUUUUAGGUGAGAUCAUGACUUGACAAAGUGCUUUAUGGAUCUCUAAAUGGAUGAGACAUUGAAGUUGCCAUCAGCAAUUAAAACUAGUUUAGGAUUUUCCUGCAAGUUCCUUCCUUUUCUACCUGCUUCUGUAGAGCCAUUGAAUUCCCUCCCAGGAUUUUUUUUGUUGGAUUAUUAGAAAUAAGUGUUGAAACUGAAUUUGACAACAUUUCUCAGAAUCACAGGAUGGCUGAGGUGGGACAGGAUCUCUGGACAUCAUCUUGUCCAGCCCCUCUGCUCAAGCAGAGACAGCUACAGCGCAUUGCCCAGGACAAUGUCCAGAUGUCACUAGGGAUGGAGAUUCAACCAUCUCUCUGUGCAACCUUUGCCAGUGCUUGGUCACCCUUACAGUGAAAAAGCAUUUCCUGAAGUUCAAAUGGAAUCCUUUGUGUUUUAGUGUGUGCCCAUUGCCUCUUACACUGUCACUGGGCACAGCUGAUAGCACUGCCUAGCUCCAUCCUCAUACACCUUUCUUUCAGGUGUUUACACACAUGGAUAAAAUCUCCCCAAACAUCCUCUUCUCCGGGCUGAACAGUUCCAGUGCUGUCAGUCUGUUCUCACAGGAGAGAUGCUCUGGUCUAUUAAUCAGCUUGCUGGCCCUUCAUUAGACUCUCUCCAGUAUAUCCAUGCCUCUCUUCUACUGGGAAGCCCAGAACUGGACACAGGCUCCAGGUGUGGCCACACCAGUGCUGAGCAGAGGGGAAGGAUCCCCUCCCUCCAACAGCUGGCAACGCUUCUCCUGGUGCAUCCUAGGAUAGCAUUCACCUUCUUUGCAGCAAGGGCACGUUGCUGGUUCACAUAAGGUGCACCUUUGGAACUGUCAUAACACUGAUCCAACUAUCAGAGAACCGGAUUCAGUGAAACUGGUGUUAAAAGCAUAGAAGUAAAUAAUAUUUCAUUGCAAUAUCUCAACAAUUAAGACUUAGUUUUUGGUCUCUGGUUGUUUUGGGUGGACUUCAGUAGCUUUCCCACAUUCAGGCUGUCCACCAUAUUUGAGGAGACUCUUCAGCUGUUUUUCUUCUUGACACAUUUCAAAGGCCCCGACCACUACUAUUAAUUCUUCCUCCUGAGAUAAAAGCAUCAGCUGGUUUACCUGGCCAGAUAUGAAUUGGCAGCAACAAAAAGCAAAAGAAAUAAAGUGAUGUUUGUGAAGGUCCUGUAGGUACAUACAAAGGUAGCAAGUAUUUGGCAGCAGAAGAAAGUUCAAUAAUUGUUCGUAAUGACUGAAAGAUAUUUUAAAACAUCAGAACAUUUUUGCGCAAUAAUUGAAGCAGGGUGCCUCCUGCUCGACAUGAAUUCAAGAAGAUGUGAACAAGGCUCUGCAAGUCAUCUACAAAUUAGGCCAAGCUCCUCUUCCAAAGCAAGUGUUUCUGAAGGAAAGUAUACUAACAGUAAUAACCCCAAAAAUGAAGAGUAUAACAAUGAGAUAAUAACAAGGAAGAAGUGUGUUAAAUUAUCACAACACAUUUCAGACUUGAAACCAUGUCUUGCAUACAAUUAAUGAAAACCUGGCUAUGACAUACGGUAUCUUCUCCUCUUUAAACAGUAGAAGGUAUUUUGGAAAUUGUGAUGUGGGAGUGUGUCCUCUAAAGAGUGAUAGUAUUGUACUGAAUUGCAUCGUGGGUGUAUUUAGUUCUGAGUGCUGCAGACUAAUUGCAAUGUAUUGAGCUGUGGCGUAGGUGUUUUUGGAAGCUGCUCUAGUUCUUAAACAUUUUAACUCAAAAUUUACAGUAGACCCUUUUCUUGAGCAAAUGUUGAGUGAUACCAGCAGUUGACUUAUCCCUAGGAUCAAGACAGAAGGAGUUGGCAUUCUCUGGUCAGAUCUAGUAAUUAUGCAUGAUAUAUGGCAUGAGAUAUGGCAAAGUGUGGUUUGUGGUAGGAAUUGCUGUUCCAGGCCAGAGUUGUGUCUCAGCUAAGUCUGCAGGUGUACCCAAGUAUGCUGGAAAAGGUUGGAGGUAGUCCUCUAUGGAAAAUACGGAAAUAACCUGGUUACAGGUAAAGGUUCUUCCUAACUUAA